GGAAAAUAUAUAGAUGAGGGGUUCACUGCUUUGUUUGGGAACCAUAUAAUUCACGGCCUUUCCAUUUGUUUUUGUCUCUCAAUUACUACCAAUAUUAAGAGUACCUUAUUUAAUUCAAAUCCUGGCAGAUCAUGUUCUUGACUCUCAAUUUUUUUACUUUUCUGGCCAAAUAUUUUUCUUUCAUUGAUUGCCAUCUUUCAAUUUAUUAUCGUUUCAGUUAUGAUCGAUUAUUAAUGUCAUAUAUUAUAUAAUUAGUUGAACUAAAAUGGGUAGCAUUUUGAUUUUAAUUAUAAUUUUGAUGUACAUGUGUAGUUCAACAAAAAUAUCCUAAUACGAAAUUCCAAUUAUUUUCAUUAGUUAACAUGGGUGAUCAUUCCACUAUUUCCACUGUACUCUUUUGCUUUAGCUAAAAUUACUGUUUUGCCACCUAGCCUAUUAUUGUUCGGCUAUAAAUAGGAGGAAGAUGUAGAAGCCAAAAUAUCCAAAAACAAGAUGAAGUCUUCUCUUAUACUAAUUACAGUUGUGUUGUCUACCAUUCUCUUCUUCUCAUCGUCAUUAGUCCUUGCUCGAGAAUUAAAAGAAGGUGCUCCUAUUUACAAGCGAGUGAUCGGAGCAGCACCGCCUGGCCAAAUUCCAUUUUCUUGUGGCCGCGGAAAACGCUAUUCCCCAUGCGUACCAAAAGCCCCAAAAGCCCCGCCCUGUACUAUCUAUGUCCGCGGCGGCCACUGCGUACCUCAUGGCCAUUGAAUGAUUAGAUCAAUCAGAUCAGAUCAGAUCAGAUCGAUCUACUUAAAUCAUCUCUUCACCUGAAGGCCAUGGAAUUAAUAAUAAUUCUCUAAGUGCUGCCAAAGCUAGCUCAUCAUCAUCAGCUGUGUUAGUGUUAUGUGUUUUAUAUAAAUAUAUCCUCAUCGUGUAAAACCAAUAAAAGGGAGAUAUGAACAAUAUAUUAUAUAGUACGUACUAAUACUAUUUUAUGUAAUAAGAAAGCCUGCAGACUGGUUUUGCAAGAUCGAGUAGUGUACCCACUCUUGCAAAUGCAAUAUAUCUUAAUGAAUAUAAAUAGUAUUUUUGCCUCUUAAA